rnacentral:rRNA from 1 species
AACGAACGCUGGCGGCAGGCCUAACACAUGCAAGUCGAGCGAGACCUUCGGGUCUAGCGGCGAACGGGUUAGUAACGCGUGGGAACGUGCCCUUCACUACGGAAUAGUCCCGGGAAACUGGGUUUAAUACCGUAUACGCCCUUCGGGGGAAAGAAUUUCGGUGAAGGAUCGGCCCGCGUUGGAUUAGGUAGUUGGUGCGGUAACGGCGCACCAAGCCGACGAUCCAUAGCUGGUUUGAGAGGAUGAUCAGCAACACUGGGACUGAGACACGGCCCAGACUCCUACGGGAGGCAGCAGUGGGGAAUCUUAGACAAUGGGGGAAACCCUGAUCUAGCCAUGCCGCGUGAGUGACGAAGGCCCUAGGGUCGUAAAGCUCUUUCACCAGGGAAGAUAAUGACGGUACCUGGAGAAGAAACCCCGGCUAACUCCGUGCCAGCGCCGCGGUAA